rnacentral:rRNA from 1 species
UACGGAGGAUCCAAGCGUUAUCCGGAUUCAUUGGGUUUAAAGGGUGCGUAGGCGGAAUGAUAAGUCAGUGGUGAAAUCCCUUCGCUUAACGAAGGAACUGCCAUUGAUACUGUCAAUCUUGAGUACAUUUGAUGUGGGCGGAAUGUGUCAUGUAGCGGUGAAAUGCUUAGAUAUGACACAGAACACCGAUUGCGAAGGCAGCUCACAAAACUGUAACUGACGCUGAGGCACGAAAGCGUGGGUAGUCAAACAGGA